rnacentral:lncRNA from 10 species
AGGCGAGACUGGCCUAGCCUUCCAGCUGACAUCUUUCUCUUGUGCUAGAUGCUUCCUGCCCUCAAACAUCGGAUUCCAAGUUCUUCAGUUUUGGGACUCGGACUGGCUCUCCUUGCUCCUCAGCUUGCUGACAGCCUGUUGUUGGACCUUGUGAUCAUGAGACAGUGUGCAAUCUGAUCCCCAGAGAAUUCUAUCGGGGCAUGCUUCAACUACUCAGCAAGUGGACAUCUUUUACAUGAAGAUUUCUGCUCCUGAGAGAAGAUAUCUGUCUCCUUGGGCUGCACAGCCAUCCUCUUAUGUGUGAACUGGGCCACAAUCCUCUUAAGACAAUCUCACAUGGAAGUCUUAUUGGGACUCUCAUUUUGGGCAAUGCUUGUCUCUGAUGUCAUCUAAACAACUUACCAAAACCUCAGGUAACCCCCACUGUGCUCCAAAGAAGGUUCUCUUUUGUGGUGUCAAUCCUGACAGAUGCAACCUGAACAUCCCUUUGGGCCCCAGGGAGCACUGGUCUCUCCAUUUUGGAGAGAAUGUGAUUUUUCAUCUCUUGCUUGGGAGCAUGGAUAUUUCUGAAUAACCACAACCAUAAAUUCUAUUAAGAGAGACACCACACUUUAUUUCAUCUCUCUAUUAGAUAAGAUAAACUGAAUAGGAAGGAAUCAAACAUUAAAAAGCCCUCCCUACUCCUCAUUUUUUAAAAUUGGAAUAGCUUGGUGAAGAGAUGCUAAAGAGAAUACUUCUAAAACUAAGCUUAAGUGUGAUUUUUGAAAAUUUAAAUUUUAAGGUACUCUACAAAUAACUCAGAGUGCUUUGCCUCACUGUGACCCAACCAUAUGUGUGGGUUUAGAAGCCUAAUUAUAUGUUAUUUAUAAAUAUAACUUACCAGAUAAUUGCCUUGUGUGAAUAUCCAAGAUUGAAAUCAAUAGUAUGUUUAGAACCAAUUUUUGGUGAUGAGCAUAUAUAAGCUAACUUUUGGAUAAGCCAUGCAUAGCUACUUAUUUUAAAGAAUGCAGGAUAGUGGUGACCACACAUGCUGUCUGUUGGGUGAUGAAUUUUUAAAAAAUAUUUGUGUAUUUGCACUAUUAUAGUGUUGGCUUCCUCAAGGCCCUGGUGUGUUGAAUUUGCUAUGCUUUGGGGUAUGGGCAUGUGUUACAUACAGCUGUCUUCUAAAUAUGUUAGACCAUCUAUUGUGGUAAGAUUAAGUGAAUGAAAGUUGAAUAUAUUUUCUGUAAGUCCCUGAGAAAAUUAAUGAAAUAAGUGAA